UUCGUAGGUGGCGAGCGUUAUCCGGAAUUAUUGGGCGUAAAGAGCGCGCAGGUGGUUGAUUAAGUCUGAUGUGAAAGCCCACGGCUUAACCGUGGAGGGUCAUUGGAAACUGGUCGACUUGAGUGCAGAAGAGGGAAGUGGAAUUCCAUGUGUAGCGGUGAAAUGCGUAGAGAUAUGGAGGAACACCAGUGGCGAAGGCGGCUUCCUGGUCUGUAACUGACACUGAGGCGCGAAAGCGUGGGGAGCAAACAGGAUUAGAUA
rnacentral:rRNA from 1 species